rnacentral:rRNA from 1 species
GAUGAACGCUGGCGGCGUGCCUAAUACAUGCAAGUCGAGCGAACAGACGAGGAGCUUGCUCCUCUGACGUUAGCGGCGGACGGGUGAGUAACACGUGGAUAACCUACCUAUAAGACUGGGAUAACUUCGGGAAACCGGAGCUAAUACCGGAUAAUAUAUUGAACCGCAUGGUUCAAUAGUGAAAGACGGUUUUGCUGUCACUUAUAGAUGGAUCCGCGCCGCAUUAGCUAGUUGGUAAGGUAACGGCUUACCAAGGCAACGAUGCGUAGCCGACCUGAGAGGGUGAUCGGCCACACUGGAACGGAGACGCGGUCCAGACUCCUACGGGAGGCAGCAGUAGGGAAUCUUCCGCAAUGGGCGAAAGCUUGACGGAGCAACGCCGCGUGAGUGAUGAAGGUCUUCGGAUCGUAAAACUCUGUUAUUAGGGAAGAACAAAUGUGUAAGUAACUAUGCACGUCUUGACGGUACCUAAUCAGAAAGCCACGGCUAACUACGUG